rnacentral:rRNA from 1 species
AACGAACGCUGGCGGCAGGCUUAACACAUGCAAGUCGAGCGGGCGCUCCUUCAAGCAAGCUUGAAGAUGAUUUUGGAAUCAUCAAGCAAGCAGGCUUGCUUGAUGGGCGUCAGCGGCGGACGGGUGAGUAACGCGUGGGAACGUGCCCUCUUCUUCGGAACAGCCUCGGGAAACUGAGAUUAAUGCCGGAUACCGCCCCUCAUAGCGAUAGUGGGGGGGAAANUUUAUCGGAGGAGGAUCGGCCCGCGUCGGAUUAGGUAGUUGGUGGGGUAACGGCCCACCAAGCCGACGAUCCGUAGCUGGUUUGAGAGGAUGAUCAGCCACACU